GGGGCGGUGGCGGAAUCGGCAGACGCAACGGACUUAAAAUCCGUCGAUGGAGACAUCGUGAGGGUUCGACCCCCUCCCGCCCCACAA
rnacentral:tRNA from 1 species